GUCGAGCAGCCAACUCUACGUUUUUGAGACCACAUCUAUUCGGCAUUUCACCAGGAGUCAGCUGAUGGAUUGUGGGUUCAAGGUGUUAUGAUAAAAUGCAGCAUUCCAGUGCAUCCCAACCAUGC